CACACUUCACGACUUCACACUUGCUUCACACUUCACACUUGAGCAUCUGUAAAAGAGGAACAACCACAAAUUUAAAUCUCAAUUGCAGUAUAGGCCAUAUGCAGAAGCAGUUCAAAGUUGAAACAACAUCAAUUAAACACACGCGCACAGAAACAUGGGAGUCAAAAUGUAGUAUAGGACCAGGACAAGGAAACUCCUGUUAUCAAAUAAACACACAGCUUGUAGUAAAACAGCAACAUAAUACAUUAUAACGAGAGUAAGCUUGAAUCAAACAACAUAGAAACAUGUGGAUAUCUCAUGUGAGCAUCAUGCUGUGGUUUUAUUAAACAAUGAUACAUCAACAGAAUACAAUAUCUUCAAUGCAAAUUAUGAUACUUGUAGUAAAACAGUUUGAAACAACAACUACACAAUACAUUAUAACGAGAGUAAGCUUGAAUCAAACAGAAAAGGGAACAAUUUCGAGUUUAAAAGUUAAUGCAAAUUGAUUUUCUAGUAGCAAACAUUGACAGAUUGCUGCUAGUGCAUACUAGUAUGAUUCACACCAGAGCAACCAUCCAAUUCGAUGAGCACAUAAAAGUAAUUUAAGUGGGCAAAGACCCCCCCUCCCCCACCCCAAAUCUACAGGAACAGAAUAGCUAGACUGCGUCAACGGACACAGCCGAGCUCACAUGCAGUAAUACCAAGCAAGAGAAUUGCUCCUGCUAGCUGCUGUUGCUGCCACAAAAUGCAUGACAUAUUAGUUGCAGUACAAGCGAUGGACCUGGAUUCUGGACUGAGAUCCAACAUGAUGUACGUACAAUGAAGUGCAGAUAUGCAACUAGCAGGAAAUCUAAAAUACUUGAGAUAUAGGUAUGCAGCAAGAACAACAGGCAAUGCAAUGAUAGUAUGAGAGCACUGUAGCUCUAGAAGUAAAAAGAACAUAAUGCAGCGAUGUGCAAGUCACUGAACUUCAUAGCAAUAACCUGCCACAGCUCAGCGCUUAUGUACUUCAAGCUGUCAAAAGCAUAGAGAGCCUCUCCGUUGGCCUUGUUGACGAGUUGCCAUGGCAGGGUAGCCUUCCUAAUCCUUGACCCUUGUGAUGUACUUCAUGUCCAGUGCUGCAUCAUAUGUGUAUAUUCAAAUCAAUCAACUACUUGAUCAGGGGGAAAAUAGUACGUACAUAAAAAUUCGCUUGAGCAAAAGCCAAA
rnacentral:lncRNA from 1 species